UGUAAACAACCUUGGUACGCUGUCUCGAUCAUCGAGUCACCAGCGAUAGGAUUUGUUGCAAGGACUGCUGCACACGAAUUAGCUCACAAUAUGAGGUGUGACCAUGAUAUCACUCCCGGGUGUUCGACAGAGGAACAGUUCGUAAUGUCGCCGAACUUUAACGUUGCUACAUACAAAUAUAGGACCAAUCCCUACAGAUUUUCUCCAUGCUGCAUUGAAAGCAUUCGUGCGCACCUUAAGGACCUGAGUGAUAUGAUAUCGAACGAGACCACGUAUGCACAUAGAUAUGAAUGUUUAAACCAUCAUUCAGCGCAAAACGAUUUUAGUUUUCUGGACAGAUCUAUAUUACCCGGACAACGAUAUACACUGAACGAUCAGUGUAGAUACUUAUUGAACGACCCAACUUCUUUU